rnacentral:tRNA from 1 species
GCGGGAGUAGCUCAGUUGGUAGAGCUCCAGCCUUCCAAGCUGGUUGCGCGGGUUCGAAUCCCGUCUCCCGCU